rnacentral:rRNA from 1 species
CCUACGGGAGGCAGCAGUGAGGAAUAUUGGUCAAUGGGCGGAAGCCUGAACCAGCCAAGUCGCGUGAGGGAAUAAGGCCCUACGGGUCGUAAACCUCUUUUGCCGGGGAGCAAGGGCGGGGACGUGUCCCGGCCCGGAGAGUACCCGGAGAAAAAGCAUCGGCUAACUCCGUGCCAGCAGCCGCGGUAAUACGGAGGAUGCGAGCGUUAUCCGGAUUUAUUGGGUUUAAAGGGAGCGUAGAUGGGUUGUUAAGUCAGUUGUGAAAGUUUGCGGCUCAACCGUAAAAUUGCAAUUGAUACUGGCAGUCUUGAGUACAGUUGAGGUAGGCGGAAUUCGUGGUGUAGCGGUGAAAUGCUUAGAUAUCACGAAGAACUCCGAUUGCGAAGGCAGCUUACUAAACUGCCACUGACAUUGAUGCUCGAAAGUGUGGGUAUCAAACAGGAUUAGAUACCCGAGUAGUC